UCCUAAUUCCUAAGUCCAACUCGUCUCCUGACUCUCCUCUAACUCUAACGCUAACUUCAACCCUAAUGCCUCCUCCUCUCAUCUCCUCUCCUCCUCACGCCUAACUUAACAGUCCUGACACGAUCCACACUGCUCUGUCCAAGUUCCAACGGCGGCGGGAGUUCUCAGGCACCUUACACCAAGGGACUAUUUGCUUUCCUUUAUCCCCUUUCAGGGCAUCAUUAGCCAUCAGUUGGAUUUAGUGAUGGCUACUGUUUUUUGUAUUAGUGAUGGAUCAACAGCCAAUCCAUGAAACCUAUGCAGCAAGUGCAAGAAGCUAAAUGUGUUGUAAGGAUAAUUCUUAUUUGGGCUGCAGCAAUUGUAUACCAUAUUGCAAUAAUUCAGCAGCUUGAGUAUUUGUUGAACUGCUUAUCACUGUGGGCUGCUGCUACUGAUUUUUGUAUCUACGACUGCUACUGAUUUUUGUGCCAACUUGGCUGCUGCUACUGAUUUUCGCUGCUGCUACUUACUUGGCUGCUGCUAUUUUUCCUUGGCU